AAGCACAUCAUACAGGAAACUGUUUCACUGACUGGUACAAGAGAUGACUAAUAGAGAGAGAGAGAGGGUGAGGGAGACAGCGAGAGAGAGUGAGAUGUAGUGAUGCAUAGUAAAGGAGUGAUGGACAUUUCAGAAGCUAGACCGAGAAAUAGUUGUUCCAUUUCUGCAGAGAACGUGUGUGAAUAAAUACGCAACGUUCAGUUCAACACAUUUUGAACAUGUCCGUGUCUGAAGUGUACAUUUCUGUGUUCUACGAUGGCAACACCUGCUCCUGUCCCCGAGCUGCUACCGGCUACUCUGAAGGAGCUAGUUGGACAUUUCACUGGUACCUGACUCAGAACGUACCAGAUGGCUUUUCUCUCAUCCCCAAGGCCAUCUGGAGAACGCUGACGGCAGGACACCGUGGAUACGAUGGUGAACUCCUACGGCCAUGAUGGAGCUAUGAAGAUCUCACUGGAAAUCUUGAGAAAGAUUCAUCAGAAUGAUCUCACCAAGAAGUUAAUGGCAGAUCACCAAGCUCUCUCAGUAAAGGCUGAAGUUGACGGAGCAGCUGCCUCAAUUCCGGUUCCUGCCUCUCCUGUCUACCUCAUUUGUACAUCUCAGACUGGCGGCCAUGUUGUGGCCCCUUCGCUCUCCAGCUGCCAUAUUGAUGGUCCCGUUCAAUUCAACAUCAGAGUCAACUCCAUAGACGACGAGCCCAUCGUUCCAUCUAAAGCAUCACCUGCCCAUCUCACCAUGUUUGAACCUGUUCCUGUAAAUACUGAAGACAACAGUAAGACAGAUAGAAGGGGUGUAUGGCAGUCUUACUGUAGAUCUGUAUAGAGAAGGUUGUUUGGCAGUGGUAAGAAUAGGGAAACGCUUUGGAACUGAAGUUGUUUUUGGUAUGAAGAACCACAAGAUUGCAACGUUGUCCAGUAACCUGUAUUUAGAGAGAGCAAGAUCAAACAAUCCUAAACCUGCAUUGUUAUACUGCAGUCUCUAAAGAGUUUCAGUUUGAAUGGAAUAUUUACAGGAAAAUCCACAGAACCAUCUAUUUUACAUACACAGAGGCCUUUGUAUACUGUGUUUGUCACUUGUUUAUUUGACCAGAUGAGCGAAUCGAGAGGUGACAACUUUUUUUAUUUUGUAUUUUGUAUUUAAAUAAAUA